AUGCUCUGGUUUCUCUUCAAAUCGCAUAAAUCUUUCGCCUUUUACUAAAGAUUUCCGUGGAGAGAAACAAUUAUGAGUCUUUACCCAAAUUUUUUGAGGCCUCGUUUUGAGGCU
ensembl:snRNA U5 U5 spliceosomal RNA